rnacentral:rRNA from 1 species
UGAGAGUUUGAUCCUGGCUCAGAACGNACGUUGGCGGCAGGCUUAACACAUGCAAGUCGAGCGCCCCGCAAGGGGAGCGGCAGACGGGUGAGUAACGCGUGGGAAUCUACCUUUUGCUACGGAAUAACGCAGGGAAACUUGUGCUAAUACCGUAUGUGUCCUUCGGGAGAAAGAUUUAUCGGCAAGAGAUGAGCCCGCGUUGGAUUAGCUAGUUGGUGGGGUAAAGGCCUACCAAGGCGACGAUCCAUAGCUGGUCUGAGAGGAUGAUCAGCCACAUUGGGACUGAGACACGGCCCAAACUCCUACGGGAGGCAGCAGUGGGGAAUAUUGGACAAUGGGCGCAAGCCUGAUCCAGCCAUGCCGCGUGAGUGAUGAAGGCCCUAGGGUUGUAAAGCUCUUUCACCGGAGAAGAUAAUGACGGUAUCCGGAGAAGAAGCCCCGGCUAACUUCGUGCCAGCAGCCGCGGUAAUACGAAGGGGGCUAGCGUUGUUCGGAAUUACUGGGCGUAAAGCGCACGUAGGCGGAUCGAUCAGUCAGGGGUGAAAUCCCAGGGCUCAACCCUGGAACUGCCUUUGAUACUGUCGAUCUGGAGUAUGGAAGAGGUGAGUGAUU